ensembl:lncRNA
GGAACAAUGUAGAAGCUGAGUUGUUGAAGGGCUGACCUCUGACAGCAACAAAGGGGAGAACGUUUUCAGAGACCCAUGUGAGUCAUCACUGAGAUGGCUUUGUGCACGUGAAGCUGUGAGGGGACAUUAGUCAUUGGAAAGGAAGAGUGGAAGCCCCUAUGGCGGCUUGGUACACAUGGACUCAGGAAGCCGAUGGGAUGAACACAUCCAACGAGAUGACUUGCAGACCCAUUAAGCAAGAAACUUAAUGUGCUGGUGGACAUAGUUUGCAAGUGUGGAAAAAUAAAAUCAUGCACAUUUUCAAACCUAUAUGUUAAGAUACCACAGAGAUGCCACCGCCAACGAUCGGUGAGACCAACUGAAGCCGUGACACUCACGAGCCACAACCUGUCCCUCUAACAGAAAACACACUUUUCUGGCAGUGUUGUGAAGGUUUUUUUUGAAUCCUCAAUGCGUUGGGUGAGUGGGGAGCACGGUCGUCCUCCAAUCAGAGGGUUGUCGGUUCAAUCCCAGGCUCUGCUAACCCGCAUGUCGAUGUGUCCUUGGGCAAGACACUUAACCCAACAUUACUCCUGUAGCUGUGACUACAGUGUGUGAAUGUUAGUUACUGGUGUCACUGUGUAUGGUUCUCCUCUGAUGUACAAGUACAGUCCAUUUCGCCAUCGUUGCAUAGUUAGGAGGAUAGGAUUUGAUGCACUGUGAUUAAAAAAAAAUUUUUUUUAAAAGAGCAUCAGAAAUUGAACCCUUUUCUACCUAAUUGGAAAAACUAGGAAAGCUCUUCAACUUGAACAUUCACCUACCCAGCCGUGUCUUUCAACUUUUGAGAACAUGUUUUUAAAAAUGUUUUGUGUUCAACAAAUAGAGCGAGGACAUUAAAUAAUCUCUGUCAACUCAAUUAUUUGAUCCAAUGUCCUAAAAUAUUUAUUCAUCCAAAUUGUUAAGAGGAUUUUGAAAAAGAACUUCAGAUCAACAAUAAAUGCUGGAGAAAAAAAAACACCUUUUCAACAAACGCCGGGUGAUUAUUUUUCAGAAAAUCCGUUACUUCAACA